rnacentral:rRNA from 1 species
GACGAACGCUGGCGGCGUGCCUAACACAUGCAAGUCGAGCGAUGAAACCCUUCGGGGUGGAUUAGCGGCGGACGGUUGAGUAACACGUAGGCAACCUGCCCCAGAGACGGGGAUAGCCCGCCGAAAGGCGGAUUAAUACCGGAUGUGGCCGGGGGUGGCAUCACCCUUGUGCUAAAGGGAGCAAUCCGCUCUGGGAGGGGCCUGCGGCCUAUCAGCUGGUUGGUGGGGUUACGGCCGACCAAGGCGACGACGGGUAGCUGGUCUGCGAGGAUGGUCAGCCAGACAGGGACUGCGACACGGCCCUGACUCCUUUGGGGGGCAGCAAUGAGGGAUAUUGCACAAUGGGGGAAACCCUGAUGCAGCGACGCCGCGUGGGUGACGAAGUCCUUCGGGAUGUAACGCCCUUUUCUCGGGGAAGAGAAUGGACGGUACCCGAGGAAGAAGCCCCGGCUAACUACGUGCCAGCCGCCGCGGUAACAC